UCUAUUCAUUUUUCUGUAGCCUAAGAAAAAGAGAGCUCAAUUGUAAAUUCUUGCUGAGAAACUUGGGUUUAGCUGUCUUAAGAUCUUGCUGAAAGUUUUUCCUGAGGUUUUAUUCUACGCAGCCUUAGAGAUAGAAUGAUGUCAGAAUUAUCCCCCACCAGCCAUCCCCUCAAUUUUGUUAAGUCACCUUAUUAAUGACAAGCCUUGGUAUUUCUUGAUACUUAGUGGAAGCCAUGCAGUGGUAUUCAGGGACUUAUGUUCCUGAAGGGAUUUUCUUGACUUGUUCAAAUUAUCUACUCACCAUUUCAAUUAUUUUUCUCCAAUUGAGUGGGACUGAGGAGUGGAGUAUGUAUUAGUCAGUUCAAGCUGCCAUAAUGAUAUACCAGAGACUAGGUGGUUUAACAACAGAAAUUUGUUUUCUCACAGUUCUGGAGGCUGGUAGUUUGAGAUCAGGGUGCCAGCAAGUUUGAGUUCUGCUGAGGGCAGUCUUUGUAGCUUGCAGAUGAUGACUUUCUUGCUGUGUUCUCACAUGGUGAGGAGAAAGAGGAAGAAAUCUCUCAUUCUACUUUAUAUAAGGAAGGCCACGGUCCUAUUGGAUUAGGCUCCCACCCUUAUGACUUAAUUUAAGCUUAAUUGCUUCCUAAAGACCACAUCUCCAGAUGCAGUCAGAUUGUAGGUGUUAGGGAUUCAACAUAUGCAUUGUGAGGAAACACAAUUUAGUCCAUAGCAAAGGGCCAGGGUGAAAUGGGUGAGAAUUCACAUCUACAGUUUUUCAUACUGCUAGUACAGGUAGAGCAGGAUUAGGAGCUACCUCAGGCAGCCUGCCUCGCCAGAAUCAUCAUCUUUUUUGGCCUUCAGUUUUGAACUUUAUGAUACAUGUGGUCUGUCUCCUUUCUGAAGUUGUUGCCAGUAUUUUGAGAGGCACUUGGUUUGUUUGAUUUACUGUUUUUAAUUCAUUUUGCUGAGUAUUAUGGUAAAUAAAUUUAGUGUAUGAAUUUCUAUUUUUGAAAGAAAGCCUAGAUAAAUUUGUUUAAAAAUAAAAUGAGAGCUGCAUUUCAUAGCAGACAUCCAGAAAACAUCCAACUAGAUUAAAGAAUUAAAUGUAAAAAAUGAUUCUAUAAACAUUUAAGUGAAAACAUUGAUGGUAAAU
rnacentral:lncRNA from 10 species